AGUCGAAACGAGAAGGGGAGCAAUCCCUGAGUACAGUGGCGUACGGGUGAGUAACACGUGGAUGAUCUACCUUCUGGUGAGGAAUAACCCUGGGGAACCGGAGCUAAUACCGCAUAAGCUCGAGAGAGGAAAGCAGCAAUGCGCCGGAAGAGGAGUCCGCGGCCGAUUAGCUAGUUGGCAGGGUAAAAGCCUACCAAGGCGAAGAUCGGUAGCCGGCCUGAGAGGGCACACGGCCACACUGGCACUGAAACACGGGCCAGACUCCUACGGGAGGCAGCAGUGGGGAAUCUUGCACAAUGGGGGAAACCCUGAUGCAGCGACGCCGCGUGAGCGAUGAAGCCCUUCGGGGUGUAAAGCUCUUUCGGCAGGGAAGAUGAUGACGGUACCUGCAGAAGCAGCUGCGGCUAACUACGUGCCAGCAGCCGCGGUAAUACGUAGGCAGCAAGCGUUGUUCGGAGUUACUGGGCGUAAAGGGUGUGUAGGCGGUUGUUUAAGUUUGGUGUGAAAUCUCCCGGCUCAACUGGGAGGGUGCGCCGAAUACUGAAUGACUCGAGUGCGGGAGAGGAGAGUGGAAUUCCUGGUGUAGCGGUGAAAUGCGUAGAUAUCAGGAGGAACACCGGUGGUGUAGACGGCUCUCUGGACCGUAACUGACGCUGAGACACGAAAGCGUGGGUAGCAAACAGGAUUAGAUACCCUGGUAGUCCACGCCCUAAACGAUGCAUAUUUG
rnacentral:rRNA from 1 species